CCUCUCGUUUGUCAAAAUUUGGUUCUUCAAAUCCUUGAACCUUUUUUGAUAAACUCGAUCUAACAAUUUAUGCUACUAACCCAUGUGAGCCCUCUUGUUCUGGAGAUAAACUCUGCGAAAUCUUCCUAAAAACUCGAUCUCCAUUGGUUCCAUAGCCGACGAUUUAGGCACGAAAACUACAAAAGAAAUAUAAGUCCUUUUCUAUCAAAAGAUUUCUUCUUCUUUUUUCCUAGUUAAAAUUAUUUUUCUAUGUAAUUAAUAAAAGUGUAUAUUUUGUUAUUUUUGGGAUUUAUUUAUGAAAGAUUGGCGAGGGUUUGCCGAUUAUAAUUUCGUAUGCCAUUCUAGAAUACUAGCGAGAGAAAAAAAAAGGGUAAAUCACAUGUGAGUAAGUCUAGUUUCCCCAAACCCUGGAAAGAUCGAAAUAAAAUCUCAAAUUUCUUCAGAUCUAGCUAUAUAUUUUGGGAGUUGGCGAAUUCGUCCUUUAUUACAUUAUUUGGAGCAUUUAGGUUUGUAUUGUUUCCUCUUAGCAAUUACUCACCCUACAGCUCGUGAUGAUAGGACUCUCAACUUUUUGAGACCAAGAUCUCGUGGGCCAAUUGCGAUAAUGAAGAUCUGGAAUUUUUCGUUGUUCUAUGUCAUGGAUGAGCUUUGGGAAAGUGUAGUGAUUUUAGUAUGAGAUACUCUUUUUGGGAUUCACUAAUUAGAAAUUUUUACCACUGAUGGAGUAAGCAACAAUGGAGCUGAAAAAUGGUAAUUCCAUGGAGGAACUGCCCUUGUUAUUGGAGUACUACGGGUAUAGAGUAAGCAACAUUUCAAGUCCUAUCCAUUAUUCUUUUUUUUUCUAUCGUAUGAAAUUUUGGAGUUCAUUCAUUUCAUUUACAGCGUCCAUUAACUUUUGAUUCUUCUUCUUUACUGAUGCACUAGACAUGCCAUAGUUGAAGAAUUGUUGAGCUUUGGUGCAACGAUUUAUACUACUCAUGAAAUAAAAAGUACUUAGACGAAUAUUAGGAGAAACUGGCAAAGGAAGGGGUAUAAAUUAAAAAGGUUUACAUGUUUCUUGUUAUCAGAAGAUCAAUGGCACCCGUAAUUAAAAAAGCCAUUGAAUACAUCAGUGGGAAUAAUGACAUCUUUGUAAGUGAGAUACCUUAAAUUAUCAUGAAGUUCAUAUUGAAUAUUUAAUUGAUGAUUACUGAUCAUGUAAGUUCACACUAAAUCCGUUAAUCUAAUGCUCCCCGCAUUCAAUGA